UACGGAGGAUCCAAGCGUUAUCCGGAUUUAUUGGGUUUAAAGGGUGCGUAGGCGGAUUGAUAAGUUAGAGGUGAAAUGUCCGAGCUCAACUCGGGAACUGCCUCUAAUACUGUUGAUCUAGAGAGUAGAUGCGGUAGGCGGAAUGUAUAGUGUAGCGGUGAAAUGCUUAGAGAUCAUACAGAACACCGAUUGCGAAGGCAGCAUACCGGCGCCCUACUGACGCUGAGGCACGAAAGCGUGGGUAUCGAACAGG
rnacentral:rRNA from 1 species